rnacentral:misc_RNA from 1 species
GGAGUGGGAGGGGAAGAGGGUGAAAAAGAAAAAGAAUCCGCAGCAGCAAAAAAGGAAGAAGGAUAGUAUAAGGAUUUGCACCGAGAGUAAUAAGACGAGCCUGCAGAGUGUGGGUGAGGGGAAUAAUAGUAAUGGAAACAUCGAUAGUAACGGAAAUAGUGGGAGUUUCAAUUCUGGGAAUUGUAUGGUUAUUCAGGAUGUGUGGUGUGGGCCAGGAAUUGGGUUUUCUUCUGAUGCUGUUGUUGGGUCUGUGGAUUGUGUUGUGACGAGGAGAAAUGCGCCUGGGAGAGGGAAGAUUGAUGGGGACAACAAAAUCAAUCAAAGGGAGAGAGAGCGUGCUUCCUGUUUAGGGAGGCGGGCAACGGUGAAUCCUGAAACUCUUUCUUUUUUGGAUACGGACCCUGCUUUUGUAACAUCUCGCCCAGGACCUGAAGUCUUUGGAAGUAGAUAUUAUCGUCAUGUUCGACAUCCUUCCCCUGAUGGUUUAGCUGAGGUGUGUCCAUUGUUCAUGGAUUUUUAUUGCUAUGUCAUUGACAAUUGUAUGUUAUGUAAUUUUUGUGUUGCCUGUGCUUCCAUUGGGGUAAUUAGAGGGCACUGCAUUCAGAAUGAAUGUCAGCUUAUGGUGGAAUGGCUGAUUGUGUUGUUGCAAUGGUCAUUUCUUUUUAAAACACAUCUGUUUAAUUGAGUGAAGAGAUGGAGAAUUGUAGCUUUAUUUUGUUUAUGGUCAUCUGUGAUUUUCAGCCUCAGUUGUUUUCUUGGAGAGGGGGAGAGAUGGAGAGAUUCUUUUUGGGUUAGUAGUUUGACGGCGAGCUAACAACCAAGUUGUAGAAUAGAAGUCGAGUUGUAGAAUACCUGAUAUUUGAAACAAGAGAAUUUAUUAUUUGGGGGAAGAUUACACAUGGUCUAAAGGUUGAAAGAAACUAAAAGGUGGGCUUAAAAUGGCAUUGUCCAUGCAUUGUAUUAUGUAUGUUACUUAUCGGUCAAAUUAUCUGCCUAACCCUUGACUAAGUUUAUAGAGGGCUUGACUUCUUAAUUGAAUGCCUUAAUUGAUUACUGCAUAAGUUUAUUUGCCUACAUCUUUUUUGGGAUAGAGACGUAAUUCGUUGAAUAUCCUGUGAGAAUUGAGUUAUUUGUAAUAUCAAUCAGCAUUUAAGGCAAUUUGCAUCCCUUUUUGAGUUUUGGAAAAUUGCAGAUGAUGAUGCUCCAAAAUAGU